rnacentral:rRNA from 1 species
UACAGAGGUGGCAAGCGUUGUUCGGAAUUACUGGGCGUAAAGGGCGCGUAGGCGGCCUUCUAAGUCAGACGUGAAAUCCCCCGGCUUAACCUGGGAACUGCGUCUGAUACUGGGAGGCUUGAGUAUGGGAGAGGGAUGUAGAAUUCCAGGUGUAGCGGUGAAAUGCGUAGAUAUCUGGAGGAAUACCGGUGGCGAAGGCGGCAUCCUGGACCAUAACUGACGCUGAGGCACGAAAGCCAGGGGAGCGAACGGG